CCUCCAUGUUAGCAAAUCGAAAAAAAGCAGAGCCCCGGCAGACUGGAGGGGGUCCACCUCUGCAGCCCUCACAGAGGCUGAGGAGAUGGCCCUCAGCCAACAGAGUAUGCGUCCUGUGGCUGAGGGCAUCCCUGGGGGGAGCUCCUCUGAUCCCCCUCACCCCCCAGGAUAGAAGUGCCUUUAUAAGAGGUUGGUUAUUCAAAAUAAUUAAAUAUGUACACGCAACCCGGCGCGUUGCAAAUUAGAUGGGGCAAUAUUCUGGCUCAAGUAAUAAUUUCACUGUCUAAUCAUCUUCUUCCAGUUACUGAUGGCGUCAUCGCCCUACUUGAACCAGAUGCCCUCACCAACCUCCAUGCAAUUGAAGAUGAUGGAGAACAUUGUCUGCGGCAUUCGAAAGGGAAGAGGAAAGGCCUAUUGAGGAUGAAAUCGAAUCCAAUGAGAGGCCAUCCACUUCUAAAUCACAGCUUACCUCUGUAAGAUUCUCCCUGGAAUUAUAAUGAAACGCUCUACUUGGCAGUGUGAAAUCCAAUCUCAUCUUUUGCAUUCCUAUAGCUUCCAGUCAAAGACUCAAAGACUCUCUAUCUAGAAAAGCAAAUACACAAAGCAGACUUGGAAAUGGACCACCUUAGGCAAAAGAUGCAAAAGGAUGCUUUGGAGAUCCACAUUUUGGAACAUAAGUUAAAGGUGGGUGAGGUGCAAA